rnacentral:rRNA from 1 species
UUGACCUCGGAUUAGGUA